GACGAACGCUGGCGGCGUGCUUAACACAUGCAAGUCGAACGGAAAGGCCCUGCUUUUGUGGGGUGCUCGAGUGGCGAACGGGUGAGUAACACGUGAGUAACCUGCCCUUGACUUUGGGAUAACUUCAGGAAACUGGGGCUAAUACCGGAUAGGAGCUCCUGCUGCAUGGUGGGGGUUGGAAAGUUUCGGCGGUUGUGGAUGGACUCGCGGCUUAUCAGCUUGUUGGUGGGGUAGUGGCUUACCAAGGCUUUGACGGGUAGCCGGCCUGAGAGGGUGACCGGCCACAUUGGGACUGAGAGACGGCCCAGACUCCUACGGGAGGCAGCAGUGGGGAAUAUUGCACAAUGGGCGGAAGCCUGAUGCAGCAACGCCGCGUGCGGGAUGACGUCCUUCGGGUUGUAAACCGCUUUCGCCUGUGACGAAGCGUGAGUGACGGUAAUGGGUAAAGAAGCACCGGCUAACUACGUG
rnacentral:rRNA from 1 species